rnacentral:rRNA from 1 species
CUACGGGGCGCUCCAGUGGGGAAUAUUGCACAAUGGGCGCAAGCCUGAUGCAGCAACGCCGCGUGAGGGAUGAAGGCCUUCGGGUUGUAAACCUCUUUUAGCAGGGAAGAAGCGAAAGUGACGGUACCUGCAGAAAAAGCACCGGCUAACUACGUGCCAGCAGCCGCGGUAAUACGUAGGGUGCAAGCGUUGUCCGGAAUUAUUGGGCGUAAAGAGCUCGUAGGCGGUUUGUCACGUCUGCUGUGAAAAUCCAAGGCUCAACCUUGGACUUGCAGUGGGUACGGGCAGGCUAGAGUGCGGUAGGGGAGAUGGGAAUUCCUGGUGUAGCGGUGGAAUGCGCAGAUAUCAGGAGGAACACCAAUGGCGAAGGCACAUCUCUGGGCCGUAACUGACGCUGAGGAGCGAAAGCGUGGGGAGCGAACAGGAUUAGAUACCCCGGUAGUC